AUGAGAGUUUGAUCCUGGCUCAGGACGAACGCUGGCGGCGUGCCUAAUACAUGCAAGUCGAACGCUUCUUUCCUCCCGAGUGCUUGCACUCAAUUGGAAAGAGGAGUGGCGGACGGGUGAGUAACACGUGGGUAACCUACCCAUCAGAGGGGGAUAACACUUGGAAACAGGUGCUAAUACCGCAUAACAGUUUAUGCCGCAUGGCAUAAGAGUGAAAGGCGCUUUCGGGUGUCGCUGAUGGAUGGACCCGCGGU
rnacentral:rRNA from 1 species